rnacentral:rRNA from 1 species
AUUGAACGCUGGCGGAAUGCUUUACACAUGCAAGUCGAACGGCAGCACGGGGCAACCUGGUGGCGAGUGGCGAACGGGUGAGUAAUACAUCGGAACGUGCCCAAUCGUGGGGGGAUAACGUAGCGAAAGUUACGCUAAUACCGCAUACGAUCUACGGAUGAAAGCGGGGGAUCGCAAGACCUCGCGCGAAUGGAGCGGCCGAUGUCAGAUUAGGUAGUUGGUGGGGUAAAGGCUCACCAAGCCAACGAUCUGUAGCUGGUCUGAGAGGACGACCAGCCACACUGGAACUGAGACACGGUCCAGACUCCUACGGGAGGCAGCAGUGGGGAAUUUUGGACAAUGGGCGCAAGCCUGAUCCAGCCAUUCCGCGUGCAGGAUGAAGGCCUUC